GCUUGAGCACGUAGGUGGGUUUGUAAGUCAGAUGUGAAAGCCUUCUGUUCGACGGAAGAAUUGCAUCUGAAACUGCAAGUCUUGAGUGUAGGAGGGGAGAAUGGAACUUCUGGUGGAGCGGUGAAAUGCGUAGAUAUCAGAAGGAACGCCGGCGGCGAAAGCGAUUCUCUGGCCUAUUACUGACACUCAGUGUGCGAAAGCUAGGGGAGCAAACGGGAUUAGAUACCCCGGUAGUCCUAGCCGUAAACGAUGGGCACUAAGUAGAGGGAAUUACCGAUGUUCUCUCUGCCGUAGCUAACGCAUUAAGUGCCCCGCCUGGGGAGUACGGCCGCAAGGCUAAAACUCAAAAGAAUUGACGGGGGCUCGCACAAGCGGUGGAGCAUGUGGCUUAAUUCGAUGCAACGCGAAAAACCUUACCGGGGCUUGACAUGGUAGAAGUAGGAACCCGAAAGGGUAACGAACGGUAUCCAGUCCGUAGCUAUUACAGGUGUUGCAUGGCUGUCGUCAGCUCGUGUCGUGAGACGUUGGGUUAAGUCCCCUAACGAGCGAAACCCUUAUUUUUAGUUACCAGUGGGUUAUGCCGGGUACUCUAGAAAGACUGCCGUCGUCAAGACGGAGGAAGGUGGGGAUGACGUCAAGUCAUCAUGGCCCUUAUGCCCCGGGCUGCACACGUGCUACAAUGGUCGGUACAAACGGAUGCGAAGCCGAGAGGUGAAGCGAAUCCAAGC
rnacentral:rRNA from 1 species